rnacentral:lncRNA from 1 species
UGUGUGCCGGGGCGGCCCUGAGAAAGUACGGAGGUUACAGCUUCGCUGGGUGGAUGUGGCCCAUCUUGUUCUCUACCAUCUCAGCGUUUGCUGUAAGAAGAAAUAUUUCGAUUUUGACCGAGAGAUCCUCCCCUUCACCUCUGAGAAUUGGGACAGUCUGCUCCUGGGGGAGCUUUCAGACACUCCCAAAGGAGAACGCUCUUCCAAGCUCCUUUCUGCCCUUAACAGCCACAAGGACCGGUGAGUCGGAAGAGGGAGGCUGAGGGAGUGAUGUGCCAGCCUGGAUGAGGGGACUUGGCAACUGCCCUGAUCUGCGGAUUUCCCCCUUGUCCCAGUUUCAUUUCAGGGAGGGAGAUUAAAAAGAGGAAAUGCCUUUUUGGUCUCCAUGCUCGGACCCCUCCUCCUGUGGAGCUUCUCACUGGAGAUGGAUCCCCCACCAGGGCAGGGCCCUGGGGGAGGGGUCUCACGUCCCCUGGGGAAACGCCGGAAGUCGGAGCCAGAACCCUUGAGGAGGAGGCAGAAGGGGAAAGUGGAGGAACUGGGGCCACCCACAGCAGCUCACAGUCGGCAUGGGUCCCAGGAGCAGAGGGCCCUGCAGGCCUCAGAGUCUCCACCACCCCCCAGCCCUAACCAGAGCUACCAGGGCAGCAGCGGCUACAACUUCCGGCCCACAGACGCCCGCUGUCUGCCCAGCAGCCCCAUCCGGAUGUUCGCCUCCUUCCACCCUUCUGC